rnacentral:rRNA from 1 species
UGAGGAAUAUUGGUCAAUGGGCGCAAGCCUGAACCAGCCAAGUAGCGUGAGGGAAGACUGCCCUAUGGGUUGUAAACCUCUUUUGUGCGGGGAUAAAGUGUGGGACGUGUCCCAUAUUGCAGGUACCGCACGAAUAAGGAUCGGCUAACUCCGUGCCAGCAGCCGCGGUAAUACGGAGGAUCCGAGCGUUAUCCGGAUUUAUUGGGUUUAAAGGGAGCGUAGAUGGGUUGUUAAGUCAGUUGUGAAAGUUUGCGGCUCAACCGUAAAAUUGCAAUUGAUACUGGCAGUCUUGAGUACAGUUGAGGUAGGCGGAAUUCGUGGUGUAGCGGUGAAAUGCUUAGAUAUCACGAAGAACUCCGAUUGCGAAGGCAGCCUGCUAAGCUGCAACUGACAUUGAGGCUCGAAAGUGUGGGUAUCAAACAGGAUUAGAUACCCUGGUAGUCCACACGGUAAACGAUGAAUACUCGCUGUUUGCGAUAUACUGCAAGCGGCCAAGCGAAAGCGUUAAGUAUUCCACCUGGGGAGUACGCCGGCAACGGUGAAACUCAAAGGAAUUGACGGGGGCCCGCACAAGCGGAGGAACAUGUGGUUUAAUUCGAUGAUACGCGAGGAACCUUACCCGGGCUUAAAUUGCAGAUGAAUUACGGUGAAAGCCGUAAGCCGCAAGGCAUCUGUGAAGGUGCUGCAUGGUUGUCGUCAGCUCGUGCCGUGAGGUGUCGGCUUAAGUGCCAUAACGAGCGCAACCCUUGUUGUCAGUUACUAACAGGUUCCGCUGAGGACUCUGACAAGACUGCCAUCGUAAGAUGUGAGGAAGGUGGGGAUGACGUCAAAUCAGCACGGCCCUUACGUCCGGGGCUACACACGUGUUACAAUGGGGGGUACAGAGGGCCGCUACCACGCGAGUGGAUGCCAAUCCCCAAAACCUCUCUCAGUUCGGACUGGAGUCUGCAACCCGACUCCACGAAGCUGGAUUCGCUAGUAAUCGCGCAUCAGCCACGGCGCGGUGAAUACGUUCCC